rnacentral:rRNA from 1 species
ACACUAUCAUUAACUGAAUCCAUAGGUUAAUGAGGCGAACCGGGGGAACUGAAACAUCUAAGUACCCCGAGGAAAAGAAAUCAACCGAGAUUCCCCCAGUAGCGGCGAGCGAACGGGGAGCAGCCCAGAGCCUGAAUCAGUGUGUGUGUUAGUGGAAGCGUCUGGAAAGGCGCGCGAUACAGGGUGACAGCCCCGUACACAAAAAUGCACAUAUUGUGAGCUCGAUGAGUAGGGCGGGACACGUGGUAUCCUGUCUGAAUAUGGGGGGCCCAUCCUCCAAGGCUAAAUACUCCUGACUGACCGAUAGUGAACCAGUACCGUGAGGGAAAGGCGAAAAGAACCCCGGCGAGGGGAGUGAAAAAGAACCUGAAACCGUGUACGUACAAGCAGUGGGAGCACGCUUAGGCGUGUGACUGCGUACCUUUUGUAUAAUGGGUCAGCGACUUAUAUUCUGUAGCAAGGUUAACCGAAUAGGGGAGCCGAAGGGAAACCGAGUCUUAACUGGGCGUUAAGUUGCAGGGUAUAGACCCGAAACCCGGUGAUCUAGCCAUGGGCAGGUUGAAGGUUGGGUAACACUAACUGGAGGACCGAACCGACUAAUGUUGAAAAAUUAGCGGAUGACUUGUGGCUGGGGGUGAAAGGCCAAUCAAACCGGGAGAUAGCUGGUUCUCCCCGAAAGCUAUUUAGGUAGCGCCUCGUGAAUUCAUCUCCGGGGGUAGAGCACUGUUUCGGCAAGGGGGUCAUCCCGACUUACCAACCCGAUGCAAACUGCGAAUACCGGAGAAUGUUAUCACGGGAGACACACGGCGGGUGCUAACGUCCGUCGUGAAGAGGGAAACAACCCAGACCGCCAGCUAAGGUCCCAAAGUCAUGGUUAAGUGGGAAACGAUGUGGGAAGGCCCAGACAGCCAGGAUGUUGGCUUAGAAGCAGCCAUCAUUUAAAGAAAGCGUAAUAGCUCACUGGUCGAGUCGGCCUGCGCGGAAGAUGUAACGGGGCUAAACCAUGCACCGAAGCUGCGGCAGCGACGCUUAUGCGUUGUUGGGUAGGGGAGCGUUCUGUAAGCCUGCGAAGGUGUGCUGUGAGGCAUGCUGGAGGUAUCAGAAGUGCGAAUGCUGACAUAAGUAACGAUAAAGCGGGUGAAAAGCCCGCUCGCCGGAAGACCAAGGGUUCCUGUCCAACGUUAAUCGGGGCAGGGUGAGUCGACCCCUAAGGCGAGGCCGAAAGGCGUAGUCGAUGGGAAACAGGUUAAUAUUCCUGUACUUGGUGUUACUGCGAAGGGGGGACGGAGAAGGCUAUGUUGGCCGGGCGACGGUUGUCCCGGUUUAAGCGUGUAGGCUGGUUUUCCAGGCAAAUCCGGAAAAUCAAGGCUGAGGCGUGAUGACGAGGCACUACGGUGCUGAAGCAACAAAUGCCCUGCUUCCAGGAAAAGCCUCUAAGCAUCAGGUAACAUCAAAUCGUACCCCAAACCGACACAGGUGGUCAGGUAGAGAAUACCAAGGCGCUUGAGAGAACUCGGGUGAAGGAACUAGGCAAAAUGGUGCCGUAACUUCGGGAGAAGGCACGCUGAUAUGUAGGUGAAGUCCCUUGCGGAUGGAGCUGAAAUCAGUCGAAGAUACCAGCUGGCUGCAACUGUUUAUUAAAAACACAGCACUGUGCAAACACGAAAGUGGACGUAUACGGUGUGACGCCUGCCCGGUGCCGGAAGGUUAAUUGAUGGGGUCAGCGCAAGCGAAGCUCUUGAUCGAAGCCCCGGUAAACGGCGGCCGUAACUAUAACGGUCCUAAGGUAGCGAAAUUCCUUGUCGGGUAAGUUCCGACCUGCACGAAUGGCGUAAUGAUGGCCAGGCUGUCUCCACCCGAGACUCAGUGAAAUUGAACUCGCUGUGAAGAUGCAGUGUACCCGCGGCAAGACGGAAAGACCCCGUGAACCUUUACUAUAGCUUGACACUGAACAUUGAGCCUUGAUGUGUAGGAUAGGUGGGAGGCUUUGAAGUGUGGACGCCAGUCUGCAUGGAGCCGGCCUUGAAAUACCACCCUUUAAUGUUUGAUGUUCUAACGUGGACCCGUGAUCCGGGUUGCGGACAGUGUCUGGUGGGUAGUUUGACUGGGGCGGUCUCCUCCUAAAGAGUAACGGAGGAGCACGAAGGUUGGCUAAUCCUGGUCGGACAUCAGGAGGUUAGUGCAAUGGCAUAAGCCAGCUUGACUGCGAGCGUGACGGCGCGAGCAGGUGCGAAAGCAGGUCAUAGUGAUCCGGUGGUUCUGAAUGGAAGGGCCAUCGCUCAACGGAUAAAAGGUACUCCGGGGAUAACAGGCUGAUACCGCCCAAGAGUUCAUAUCGACGGCGGUGUUUGGCACCUCGAUGUCGGCUCAUCACAUCCUGGGGCUGAAGUAGGUCCCAAGGGUAUGGCUGUUCGCCAUUUAAAGUGGUACGCGAGCUGGGUUUAGAACGUCGUGAGACAGUUCGGUCCCUAUCUGCCGUGGGCGCUGGAGAACUGAGGGGGGCUGCUCCUAGUACGAGAGGACCGGAGUGGACGCAUCACUGGUGUUCGGGUUGUCAUGCCAAUGGCACUGCCCGGUAGCUAAAUGCGGAAGAGAUAAGUGCUGAAAGCAUCUAAGCACGAAACUUGCCCCGAGAUGAGUUCUCCCUGACCCUUUAAGGGUCCUGAAGGAACGUUGAAGACGACGACGUUGAUAGGCCGGGUGUGUAAGCGCAGCGAUGCGUUGAGCUAACCGGUACUAAUGAACCGUGAGGCUUAACCUU